UUACGGCCAUAUCACAUUGAAACUCCGAUUCUCGUACGAUCACGGAAGUUAAGUAACGUCAAGCCUGGCCAGGACCUAGAUGGGUGAUCGCUUUGGAAAUACCAGGUACUGUAA